rnacentral:lncRNA from 1 species
GCAGCAGCCAGACGCGCACAGCCUGCGGUCGCGGGGGCACGAGGCCGCGGCGGCCACCGGGGUGACCCCGGACCCCGGACCCCGACACCCUCCCCGGCCUCCCGGGCCCCCGACCCCUCCCCGGGACCCCCCGGCUCCCCGCCCUCCCGGUCUCCCCUGGCCCCCGAUCACCGCCCCCGGUCCCCCCGAACCCCCCGGCAUCCCGCCCCCCCCCCGGCAUCCCGGGCCCCCCGCAUCCCGGCCGCCCCUCUGCAUCCCCCCGGUCUCCCCGGACCCCCGGAUCCCGGUGCCCCGGCAUCCCGGGCAGAAAUUCGGCGGCCAGAUCAGACCAGGCGCGCACACGCACACGCACACGCACACGCACACGCGCGCACACUUACUCUUCGCCCCAGCGCCGAGCAGCCCCGCUGGAAGUUAGCUGGCUGCCCCCGCCGCCCCCGCCGCCCCCGCCGCCGCCCCGGCUGUGCGCUCCCUCCCAGCCGAGCGGCUCCCAGCGCAGCAGCCCGCGGGGGAAGCGGCCGCAACGCCGCCGCGCGGCCUGGAGCCCCCGCCGCCCCGCCGCCCCGGCCGUGGGAGAGCAGCGCCCCCCCUGCGCCCCGAGGCCCCGGCCGGGGAGAGCAGCCCCCCCCCGAGCACCCCGAGGUCCCGGCCGGGGAGAACAGCCCCACCCCGAGCACCCCGAGGUCCCGGCCGGGGAGAGCAGCCCCACCCCGUGCACCCCGAGGUCCCGGCCGUGGGAGAGCAGCGCCCCCCCGCGUGUCGACCCCCCCGCGUGCGCCCCGAGGCCCCGGCGCCCGGGCCGUGGGAGAGCAGCGCCCCCCCCCCCCCCCCGCGUGCACCCGGAGGCCCCGGCGCCCGGGCCGUGGGAGAGCAACGCCCCCCCGCGUGCGCCCCCCGAGUGCACCCCGAGGCCCCGGCGCCCCGCAGUGGGAGAGCAGCGCCCCCCCGUGCCCCCCCGCGUGCGCCCCGAGGUCCCGGCGCCCGGCCGUGGGAGAGCAGCGCCCCCCCGAGUGCACCCCGAGGCCCCGGCGCCCGGCCGUGGGAGAGCAGCGCCCCCCCGAGUGCACCCCGAGGCCCCGGCGCCCGGCCGUGGGAGAGCAGCGCCCCCCCGAGUGCACCCCGAGGCCCCGGCGCCGGGCCGUGAGAGCAGCGCCCCCCCGAGUGCACCCCGAGGCCCCGGCGCCCGGCCGUGGGAGAGCAGCGCCCCCCCGAGUGCACCCCGAGGCCCCGGCGCCGGGCCGUGAGAGCAGCGCCCCCCGUCGGCGCCCCCCUCGGGCCCCGCGCUCCCCUGCGCGCCGAGUCGGCCCCGGGCGCCGUGUCCUGCGCUCCGCCGUCCCUCCGCGCGUGGGCACCGGGCCGGGCCCCGGGGGCAGAGCAGCCGCAGCGCCGCAGGCCCCGGCGAGGGGAAGGGGACGAGCCCAGGCCGGGCGCCCGGGGACAGGGGCGGCCCCUCGGGGCGCGCAGGGUCCGCUCCCUCGCCGGCCUCCCGCACCCCGCGGCGGCGUUUCCGGGCCUGGGGGCGCCCCCGACCCCCCGCUGGGAACGCGGGAGAGCGGGCGCGGGGGACGCGAGGCGGGGGGCGGGGGCGCACCUGUCGGGCCCCGGCGCCGCGGCACCGCCCCGGGCUCGCUCGCGUCCACGCUCCACAGGCGGCCCCGGCCGCGACGUGCCCAGGGCAGCGGGCUCCCCGCUCGGCUCGCGCGCCCCGAGAGCCGGCGCCCCGGCCCCUCUGCGGCUCCCUCCCCGAGGCCCCCGAGGCCCCGGAGCCCCCUCCCCGGCCCUGCACCGAAGGACGGAGAAACAAAGUGGAGACCAGAACGCACCAUGGUGAGGUCCCGCGGCUCCGGUCCCGCCGACGCUGGCCGCGCUCCCCGCCCCCGGUCCCCCCGCAGGUGGCGGCGGCCGGCGGCGGCUCCCGCUCUGCUCCUCGGCCUUUUGCCUCCGGUUUGGCGCAGCCCAAGUGUCGGAAAACCGCAAGAAACCUGCUUCGGAAAAUCAGCUCAGGGUUGGAGUCCCACCCACUACGCCCAGACUAGGGCAGGGGACGGAGUCCGGUCCUCCCCAGCCGCCCCGUCGCCAGCCCAGCAGUUACUGUGCGGAGACCGAGACGAAGGGACAGGGACAAAGGAAGAGAAACCAAAAAAAAAAAAAAAAAAGGGAGGGAACUCAGGGAAAAUUUGGCUUACUUAA